GGGACGCUGUGGUCACCCGGCUGUUGCUGCUCUUGUUCCCGCCUGGCUGCCCCGGGGCUGAGGACAGUUCUGCAUUUCGUUCAUUCAUUCCACUAGUACUUUGCGCAGGAUGGGUGCCAAAAAUGAAUUGUAUUAGGAAAUGUGAUUAAUUGUCUAAUUACAGUAUAGGAGUAACAAUAGAAGAAGUUUGGCCAAGAAAAAUAAAAUAAAACAUAUGAAAAAAAAGUGAUCACUAUUUUAUUGAGUCCUGAUGCAUCACUUCAUGGAAGUUCCUGGAUUUAAAUCUCAUCCUCCUUUCUUCUGGAAAAUCUACAGUUUCUACUUCAGAUAUUAUGUUCUUCAAGGUUUCUUCUUCCAUAUUGUAGAUAAUUAUUCCUAAUCGACCUUCGUUUGUUCAUUAGGACUUGAUUUUUCCUAUUGCUGAACUUAUACCUAACGUUUAUUGGUUAUAAAUAAUAUGUUACAGAUGUUUAUAUUUAUGUAUCUACUUACCUGUUUUAUUCACACCAAAGAAGAGGAAGUAUGUUACCUGUACAUUCAUUAUAUCACCUGUGUUGAUCACUGAUUGGCUGUCCUUACAUACCUCAUUUGUAUACUACCAGUUUUUUUUCUGUACACCUGUUUAAUUAACCCUUUGCUGCUAUAUCCAAUA